CCCGCGCACUUUUUCCGUAGCUUCUCCGAUUUUGACCUUCGACAAACUCUCGGAUUGCCAGAAUCCGUUUCCAAAUGUGAAUCCGAAAACGAAUACAAGUCCAUUUCAACAACAUCGUCAUCAUCUUCGCCUGUUUGAGUGAUAGCGUUAACUUGAGAGAUUAUCUCCUUGUCCUGGCACUCAAUCUCCUCGGUUGCGUGAGACGGGGGAUGAGGAGGGGAAGAAGGAUUCUCUGAAAAUGACUUGGAAUAACAAUCUUCGUUGUUUUUUAACAAUUCAUCGUAAAGCUCAGUCUCAGCAUUGUCUGCAGCGGGAUUCUCGCCGGAGAAUCUGCCAGAUUUGACAAUGAGAGUAGCGAUAAUAGCGUUGCAGAGCAAGAAAACGAAGAUUGGGCUAGCAAUGACUCCAGCAAUUCUCAUGAAGAACUCGCUGCAAAUUCUAACGGCAAAUGGAAGCCUAUUGAAAGUCCAUGAGAGAAGCACCAGAGCAAGGCAAAACUCAAGUAAUCGGAACAAUUUUGGUAAGCUUGGAAGGUAAUUGCACCAUCGUCUAGCGCCUGGUUUCUUAGAUUUGAAGUUAUCAAAAUUAAACAAAUCCAUAACGAAAA
rnacentral:misc_RNA from 1 species